AUUGAACGCUGGCGGCAUGCCUUACACAUGCAAGUCGAACGGUAACAGGUCUUCGGAUGCUGACGAGUGGCGAACGGGUGAGUAAUACAUCGGAACGUGCCCGAUCGUGGGGGAUAACGAAGCGAAAGCUUUGCUAAUACCGCAUACGAUCUACGGAUGAAAGCAGGGGACCGCAAGGCCUUGCGCGAACGGAGCGGCCGAUGGCAGAUUAGGUAGUUGGUGGGAUAAAAGCUUACCAAGCCGACGAUCUGUAGCUGGUCUGAGAGGACGACCAGCCACACGGGGACGGAGACACGGCCCAGACUCCUACGGGAGGCAGCAGUGGGGAAUUUUGGACAAUGGGCGAAAGCCUGAUCCAGCCAUGCCGCGUGCAGGAUGAAGGCCUUCGGGUUGUAAACUGCUUUUGUACGGAACGAAAAGACUCUGGUUAAUACCUGGGGUCCAUGACGGUACCGUAAGAAUAAGCACCGGCUAACUACGUGCCAGCCGCCGCCGUAA
rnacentral:rRNA from 1 species